UAAUUUAUCAUGCCCAAGUGUAAUUUUUGUCUUUUACAGUCUGGUGUGUUUGCUUAUAGAUUUAUAGUCACAUUCUUGCUACCACAAAUGAGAGAAACCCCAUGC